rnacentral:rRNA from 1 species
CAGCCGCCACGGUAAUACGAAGGGGGCUAGCGUUGUUCGGAUUUACUGGGCGUAAAGCGCACGUAGGCGGACUUUUAAGUCAGGGGUGAAAUCCCGGGGCUCAACCCCGGAACUGCCUUUGAUACUGGAAGUCUUGAGUAUGGUAGAGGUGAGUGGAAUUCCGAGUGUAGAGGUGAAAUUCGUAGAUAUUCGGAGGAACACCAGUGGCGAAGGCGGCUCACUGGACCAUUACUGACGCUGAGGUGCGAAAGCGUGGGGAGCAAACAGGAUUAGAUACCCCGGUAGUCCCUGUCUCUUAUAC